GACGAACGCUGGCGGCGUGCCUAAUACAUGCAAGUCGAACGCAGUGGGGACGGGUGAGGAACACGUGGGUAACCUCCCCAUCAGAGGGGAUAACCCUUGGAAACAGGUGCUAAACCGAUACUGAUGGAGGGACCCGCGGUGCAUUCGCUAGUUGGUGCGGUAACGGCUCACCAAGGCCACGAUGCAUAUGCGACCUGAUAGAGGGGUCGGCCACACUGGGACUGAGACACGGCCCAGACUCCUACGGGAGUGAGCAGUAGGGAAUCUUCGGCAAUGGGCGAAAGUCUGACCGAGCAACGCCGCGUGAGUGAAGAAGGUUUUCGGAUCGUAAAACUCUGUUGUUAGAGAAGCGGUAUCUAACCAGAAAGCCACGGCUAACUACGUGCCAGCAGCCGCGGUAAUAC
rnacentral:rRNA from 1 species